UGGUGGAUUAUCUGGACUUCUCAAUUUAAAUAAAUCUUUGUUGUAUUAACGGAAAAUCUUCAAGACAUCUAGGGGAGAAAUAACUAACUCCGUAGAAUUUUAUGGGUAUGUCAGCUGUGCCGUCAGCUGUUGACAUUUCCCGGAUAUUUUCAAGACAUCUAGGGGAGAAAUAACUAACUCCAUAGAAUUUUUAUGGGUAUGUCAGCUGUCCCGUCAGCUGUUCCAUUUCACGUGGCUUCGGACUGAGGAUGGCUGCUGAAACGAACGUUUCUCCUCUUGAAAUCUUACCACCGAUUCCGUGUGUUUUGAGUUGCAUCUUGUGAAUUCAAUCAAUGCAGAGUUGUUCAAGGAGGAACAUGGCUUGGCUAUGCUAGCACGUUUUCCAUCUCCGUUAGUCUGAUAUACCCAUUUUGUUUCAAAGGUCUUUGGGAUGUACCUGAUGUACUGUUGUGGCUGCAAAAUCAUUCAAUGACUUGGUUCUAUCCAGGACUUGGUUUUUUUUAUAGUGGUUUACAGUUUUAAUUUGCAGAGAUCCUGGAGGCACCUGAUGUGUUUCAUUGGUGUUGGAGUCACUUGGUUACAGAAGAGAAUGCCACUAAUGUUAUGUUGUCAGUGUAAAUAAAACAUAUCCAGUAUCA
rnacentral:lncRNA from 1 species